AUGUCAGACCAAAGCGCUCUGGAACAAACGAAGAAAGAGGAACAGAAAAUUGGUGACUCAAGUGAAACUGCUGAGACAUCGUCGGAUGCAAAAUGUCCUGUCCAAGAAUCAACAGUCCCAUCCACCACUGAAAACUCUGUAAGUCAACCAACUGAACUUAUUUCAGAGGAGCUUUCUGUCAAUGACCAAAAAAAUCCAUUGACGUCAGAGACGAAAGACACCGGGAGUGAUUCCUCUGCAGGGACAAAAGCCACCACACAUGAUGUUUCAAGAGUCACAAAGAGCGGGGAUAGUUGUAAUUCUUCAGUGGCAGACGAUGCAACAAGUGCUGGUUCAAGGGUUACAGCUGAUACGGUCAGCGGAACAUCUUUGGCAAAAGAGGAUACACCAACUAAAAUACCUGCAGUCACCACUGCCACUGAUAGCAUAAGCCCUGCUAAAAUUGAAGCCACUUCAACGAUCACUGCCCCAAAAAUAGAAGCCACCACUACUAUUAGCCCUAAUGAGACUGAAAGCACCAUUAGUGAUGCUUCUGGAAGCGUUCCUGACUCAAGUGCCAGUACUUCUGUCACGGUUGAUAAGAGAAGUGCAUUGGAGAAGGUUUCUCCUGAUGAAGUCUCUGAAACGAGUGUAGAUAAUGCCUCAGCAAGCUCUGAGUCUCAGGAUGCCAGACAAGGAAGCUCAAAAGAACCCAAAGUCUUAGCUAAGUCUGCCGAUAAAUGUCAUACAUCAGAACGGAGCUCAAUUGCAAAAUCUGAUGCUGUAUCUGCAGCAGCAAAAUCUGUUCCUACAACCAAAGUCUCAGGUCUUGAAAGUCUCCCAUCUUCAAGUUCUAAAAGAAAUGUCUCAAAGAAACCAGUGAAUGAAUCAAUUCAAAAUGAGUCCGAUAAAAAAUCUGAAGAAUAUCUGCCUGAAAAGGACCAGUCUAAAAGCACCUCAGCUGGUGGAAAGAAGGAAGUCGAUUUGAAAAAAGAUAUUUCUGAUGGGAAAGAGACAAUAAUUUGUGGCAAAACAGCAGGAAACAAUUCAGAGAAGCCUCCAUCUCAGGAAGCAACUUGUCAUAUUUCUAGUAGCAGUAGCGUGAAGUCUGAAAAAACUUUAUUAGCAUCUGAUAAUGAAAAAGUUUCUGAUUCUAAUGAGCCAGAGGCUAAUGUGAUGAAAGUUAAGAAUGAGGAAAGCUCAAAUGGCUCUAAAACAGCUGACUCAAGCAAUGAAAAGUCAUGUAACUUGCCUGCAAGUAAACCAAGUGAAGUUAGUAAAGCAGUGACACAGAUUUCAAAGUCUAAUUCAGAGCAGCAAGAACCUGUAUUUACAAGUUUAAUUGAUUCUAAAGAGUCUCCAUGUAAAACAGGUAGUAAAUUUAGCAAAGACCCUCCCUUACAAAGAGAAGAAACCUCUUCACCGUCAAUUAUUAAGUCGUCAAUUGCAAAAUCCACUCAGGGCUCCGCCAAAACUCUUGAAAUUAGUACCAGCGAGGCAAGCAACGCUAAAUCGAUCCAUGUUGACCCAGUGGGAGAAUCACAAGAGUCAUCAAAAAUUGGAAGUGAUGUAAAGCCAACAUCACAGUCGAAAAAUCUCAAGGAGGCUAAUCCAAAGGGAGAAGCAAGGAGUGGAAUUGAUCAAACAGAUGAAUGUAAAAUUGUGUCCGAUAUGAAAGUAGUUGGACAGAAGUCUGACAGCAAGUCAACAUGUGAUAUAUCAAACGAAGGAUCCGAGAACACAUCCAACAUUCAAGCAGACUUAAAAAUGGCAGCCUCAAAUUUGGAAAAUGUGAAAUCUGACGAGGUAAACGUAGCUCAAAAAGUGUCUGAGAAAUCAGAUUUGUUAAGUGCAAUUGAAGCCGUCAAAGUGGAGGCUGAAAUUAUGAAAAGUAAACAGAAAGUAGAAAAAUCCUCAGAUUUACCUGGAAAAGAGGAGGUAAGCAAUAGUACAGCUAGAAAAUUGAGUACUGAAAGACAAGCCUCCUCCAUAGAGGACAACACAAAUGUCGACAAGGCAGACAACAAGGCAACUGCUUUUGAUGCCACGCCAGAUAAUAAACUUAAUGGCUCAUCAGUUCCCAGUAAGGAUGUUAAAGAGAAAGAAAAAGGGAAGCUGGAAAUUUCCGAAGUCUCAUCUACUAACGAAAAUCUUAGUACAAAAAAUAAUGAAUCAAAUCCUGAAGCAUCACCUUCAGGGAAGAAUUUAAAACCUCUUCAGGUUCCUACCAUAGUAGGGAAAAGAGCUGAAGAAAAUUCUCAAGCCGAAAGUAAAAUUGUUCAAGCUGAAAAGUCAAAACAAGCACCAGAAACUCCCAAAACCGUUAAACAGAUCAAUAAGGAGUCUUCAAAUAUUUGCUCUUCAACCUUAAAUGAAGCUACCUCUAAAUAUUCACCAAAGUCUGCAAUGGAAAUGAACAAAGAAAGAGAAUUGUCAGAUACAUGUCCUGAAACACAGGCAUCCUCCAAUGAUGGUUCUAAAAAGCAACAAGUUUCCAGGUUGGAAAAUGAGCAAGAUAUCAAGGAGCCUGUCACUGUUGUGAAAGGAUCAGCCCCUGUUAGUGCAAUCAAGAGUCCUGAAUCUUCGUCAGAAAGUAAGCAAAACUUGGAGGAGCUGAAAGCUGAUGUUAAAACUCCCUCAAAUACUGAAAAAUCCGUGAACGCUGAAGUGUCAGUUUCUGCAACAAAACAGGUUGAAAAGAAACAGGAAGUAAAUAGCAGAGUACCCUCAAAAGUUUUAGAACCAAAAAUUAUCCUCAAGCCCUUAUCAAAAUUAGAAGAACUCAAGGCAAAAUCUGAAGAAGCUAUUGAAGUUUCAGUCCCUUCUGAAAAAUCAAAAAAGCUAGAAUUGUCUUCUCCCAAAAUUAGUGAAGACAAAGAAAAAUCCAAACCAUUAAUUGAAGUCACCUCUGUGGUUGAAAAAGCAGUGAAAUUUGAUCCGAAAACCAAAGAAAAUUCAGAAGAUUUUGGAGCAGAUGAUCUCUCACCUGGCUCUAAAAAUACAGAGGUCUCCUCUACAGGAAUCAAAGCCUUAAAUAACGACUUAAAUAAAACAAAGGCUGCUGAGAAUGAAGAAUUAAAAAGUGAAUCGGUUAUCCCUAAAAAAACAAAACAAACUGAAAAACCCUCUAUAGUAGAAAUCACAAUUGAUGAUACUUCUGAAGAUGCUUCAAUUUCCCCUGCAGAAGUUAAAAAAGAUGCUGAAAAUUUAGUUGGAGUAGGAAGUAAGAUACUCUCUGUUGAUGAAAAAAUCAAGAGCUCCUCCUCUUCAAAAGGAAAUGAAAAUACAGAAAAGUCCAAUUUAACAGCUGAAGAAGAAAACUCAUCCGCUACACCUGAGAAGCUAGAAGUGUCAGAGGUGCAAACCGAAAAAAUCAAGGAGAUUGUAAAAGAAUUGCCAGUCGCAAAUAGUGAGUCCUCCUCCUCAGCUGAUAAACCCGAGAAUCUGGAGAAGCCUAUUAAAAAAGGAGAUGACUCAGAAGAUUCUCUUGAUGACAUCAGUAUUAUUCCAAACCCUAAAGAGCCUGUUACCUCCCAAGUCGUUGUUGACUCGAAACAAGAGAAAGCUAAACCCGCCGAAAGUGAAAAUGCAAUCAAGACGUCCGGUGCUGAUGAUAAACAGGAGGCAUCCAAAUCCUCGGAAGAAAAGCUAGGAGUAAAUUCUAUGCCGACAGCCAACAAGAGUCUCCUUGGACCUGUCAAACCGAAGACCACCAAAGUCAUGCCGAGUCUUAGGGAAAUCCGAAAGAUUCCCCAGAAACCAGAAACAGGAACAGGCGGCAUGUCCAUGUCAAUAGUGAAAAGACCACGUUUGUCCGUAUCUGAUAGUGAUUCUGGAGGGCCAGCCUCUUCCUCCGGCAGCGCAGAGAAGGUCUCAAAGCCACGUUUUUCUAUCGAAAAUGACCCGCUUCUUAACAUUACAUCUGAAUGUCGCGUAGAACUUGAAAUAACCAAAAUUCCUGCAAAUUGCCAACUGAAAACUGAGCCGGGCGGUAAGCCAGUGUUUGUACUCAACAGAAACUCUGCCGGUCCUUCUACUCAAGAUGUUAACAAGAAGCCCAAGACUCUGUUGAGGAACUUCAUGGCCCCAAAUCAGCCUAAUCAGGCCCCUCUAAUGAAGCGCAUGGGCAGGCCACCGAAAGACCCUAACCGAAUGAUCCAAGUGAGUCCUAUGGAUGCGUCAAUGCUGAACAGACCCAGACCCACUGUUUCCAAGAGAGGCAGGAAACGUGCAAUGACCAUUGAUACGGCACGGCAGCCUGGGCCUCAUUCUCCAGCAAUGAAAAUGGUUAGAACAGAUCCACACCUUAAACAUCGGAUGAAUAUGGCGCAAAUGCAGAGGAUGUACCGUAAAUCAGGACCUUCCGGACCUUCGCCCAAAACAACGUCUGCGUUGGAAAUGCUCUUGAUGAAUAGAGGAGUCACACACAACCCACCAAUCAGUGAUGCCUCCGUUGCAAAUUUCUGUCAGGUUGAAGAACUCGUGACUGAGCCAGACAUGUAUUCAACACCUAUCAAGCAGCUUAAAAACCUGUCAAAAGGUCCAGCAAACUCCAUUCUGAAGCAAAUAGCCUACGGGAGCCAGCAGUUCGGUGCAAUAACAAUAUCGCCAGUCAAUCCAUCUCCUAUGCGAAUGCCUCCAACUUCCACUGCUCAAGGUAAUAAUUAUAAUUUUCAUCUCGGCAUCUUUGAAUAA
rnacentral:lncRNA from 1 species